ensembl:snRNA U6 U6 spliceosomal RNA
GUGUUUGUUUUAGGAGCACAUAUACAAAAAUUGGAAUGAUACAGAGAAGAUUGGCAUGACUGCUGCUUAUGGAUUAUAUGAAAAUUCAUGAAGCAUUACCAUAUUUU